UCGGGUAUAGUGUACGGGGCACCCCUCCUUCCUGCGAUUUUUUCCCGUCACAUGAUGGAUGAAGAAAGCCGGGGUUCGACUCCCCGUGCCCGAA